GGAUUGCCCCAGUAACGGCGAGUGAAGCGGCAACAGCUCAAAUUUGAAAUCCGGCCCCCUCGGGGCCCGAGUUGUAAUUUGCAGAGGAUGCUUCGGCGUUGGCCCCGGGAUAGGUCCCCUGGAACGGGGCGCCGUAGAGGGUGAGAGCCCCGUACUCGCCUGGCCGGCCUUCGCCGUGUGAAGCUCCUUCGAAGAGUCGAGUUGUUUGGGAAUGCAGCUCUAAGCGGGAGGUAAAUUCCUUCUAAAGCUAAAUACCGGCCAGAGACCGAUAGCGCACAAGUAGAGUGAUCGAAAGAUGAAAAGCACUUUGGAAAGAGAGUUAAAAAGCACGUGAAAUUGUUGAAAGGGAAGCUCUUGCCGCCAGACUUGCCCCGGUUGCUCAGCCGCCCCACGGGGCGGUGUACUCUUCCGGUGGUAGGCCAGCGUCAGUUCGGGCGGCCGGACAAAGCCCGCGGGAACGUAGCACCCUCCGGGGUGUGUUAUAGCCCGCGCUGUCAUGCGGCCAGCCCGGUCUGAGGCACGCGUUCGCGAGGACGCUGGCGUAAUGGCGGCAAGCGACCCGUCUUGAAACACGGACCAAGGAGUCUAACAUCUGUGCGAGUGUUUGGGUGUCAAACCCAUGCGCGCAAUUAAAGUGAACGGAGGUUGGAACCCCCUAGAGGGGCGCACAAUCGACCGAUCCUGAUGUCUUCGGAUGGAUUUGAGUAAGAGCAUAGCUGUUGGGACCCGAAAGAUGGUGAACUAUACCUGGACAGGGCGAAGCCAGAGGAAACUCUGGUGGAGGCUCGCAGCGGUUCUGACGUGCAAAUCGAUCGUCAAAUCUUGGUAUAGGGGCGAAAGACUAAUCGAACCAUCUAGUAGCUGGUUCCCGCCGAAGUUUCCCUCAGGAUAGCAGUGACGCAUUCAGUUUUAUGAGGUAAAGCGAAUGAUUAGAGGCCUUGGGGUUGAAACAACCUUAACCUAUUCUCAAACUUUAAAUAUGUAAGAAGCCCUUGUUGCUUAGCUGAACGUGGGCAGUCGAAUGGACCGUCACUAGUGGGCCAUUUUUGGUAAGCAGAACUGGCGAUGCGGGAUGAACCGAAAGCGAGAUUAAGGUGCCGGAAUGCACGCUUAUCAGACACCACAAAAGGUGUUAGUUGAUCCUGACAGCAGGACGGUGGCCAUGGAAGUCGGAACCCGCUAAGGAGUGUGUAACAACUCACCUGCCGAAUCAACUAGCCCUGAAAAUGGAUGGCGCUCAAGCGUGCUACCCACAUCUCGCCGCCGGGGCAGGACCGAUGCCCCGGCGAGUAGGCGGGCGUGGGGGUCAAGGUGACGAAGCCCAGGGGGUGACCCCGGGUAGAACGGCCCCCAGUG
rnacentral:rRNA from 1 species